AGCGGGCUGUCAAUCACGGGUCGCUAAUUAGCCAGAUGUCAAUCAAGGCGGGGGGGGCAAUUAAGGGCACAGCAACGGGGCCAUUAACCGCAAUUAACGGCGGGCGUUAAUGAGAGAUCCGGGAAACGGCGAUCAAUUGGGGCUGUCAAUCAAACAGGGCUGUCAAUCAAACCGGGCUGUCAAUCAAACGGGGCUGUCAAUCAAACGGAAAUCUCCAUCAGGGCUGUCAAUCACUCUGGGCUGUCAAUCAAACACGGCUGUCAAUCAAACAGACCUCUCCAUCAGGGCUGUCAAUCAACCCAGGCUGUCAAUCAAACGUGGCUGCCAAUCGAUCUGGGCUGUCAAUCGAACACAGCUGUCAAUCAAACGGGACUCAACAACAGCGCUGUCAAUCAAUCUGGGCUGUCAAUCAAUCAGGGCUGUCAAUCAAACAGAUGUCUCCAUCAGGGCUGCCAAUCAAACGGGGCUGUCAAUCAAACAGGGCCGUACAUGAAACCGAUCUGUCAAUCAGAUCCGUUUGCCAAUCCGAUUGAGCUGUCAAUCAAACAGGGCUGUCAAUCACACGGUUCUGGUUAUGGAGCUGUCAGUCAGACAGAGCUGUCAAUCAGGCGGGGGCGGUCAACGAGUGAAGCUGUCAAUCAAAAUGACACCAGCAGCCUGGCUGUCAAUCAACCAGUCAAUAGGAGCUGUCAAUCAAUCGGUGACAGCUGUCAAUCAGACGAGGCUGUCAAUCAGACGCAGCUGUCCGUCAUCCAACCCCGCUGUCGCUGAUGCCAGGUGUAGCUGUCAAUCAAUCGCAGCUGUCAAUCAAUCGCAGCUGUCAAUCAAUCGCAGCUGAGAAUCAGUCAGAGCUGUCAAUCAAUCCAAGCUGUCAAUCACAGCUGUCAAUCACGGCCGUCAAUCGAAACGGCGUCGGCUGUCGCGAGGUGUCAAUCAAAGCUCGGUGAGUUGCCUGGCUGUCAAUCAGACGGAGCUGUCAAUCACCCGGAGCUGUCAAUCAAACAUCACCCGAUCCCAGCCGUCAGUGUGAGC
rnacentral:lncRNA from 1 species